GACGAACGCUGGCGGCAUGCCUAACACAUGCAAGUCGAACGGAACUUGUUGAAUGAAGUUUUCGGAUGGAUUUCGGCAAGUUUAGUGGCGGACGGGUGAGUAACGCGUGAGCAACCUGCCUUUCAGAGGGGGACAACAGUUGGAAACGACUGCUAAUACCGCAUAACGUAUUUCGGAGGCAUCUCUGAGAUACCAAAGAUUAUAUCGCUGAAAGAUGGGCUCGCGUACGAUUAGAUAGUUGGUGGGGUAACGGCCUACCAAGUCAACGAUCAGUAGCCGGUCUGAGAGGAUGAACGGCCACAUUGGGACUGAGAUACGGCCCAGACUCCUACGGGAGGCAGCAGUGGGGAAUAUUGGGCAAUGGGGAAACCCUGACCCAGCAACGCCGCGUGAAGGAAGAAGGCCCUCGGGUUGUAAACUUCUUUAGCAGGGACGAAGAACGUGACGGUACCUGCAGAAAAAGCAAACGGCUAACUACGUG
rnacentral:rRNA from 1 species